rnacentral:misc_RNA from 1 species
GAUGAAGAACGUAGCGAAAUGCGAUAAGUAAUGUGAAUUGCAGAAUUCAGUGAAUCAUCGAAUCUUUGAACGCACAUUGCGCCCGCCAGUAUUCUGGCGGGCAUGCCUGUUCGAGCGUCAUUUCAACCCUCAAGCCCAGCUUGGUGUUGGGGAUCGUCACAUGCGCCCUCGGGCGCCCGCCGUCCCCUAAAUCUAGUGGCGGUCCCGCUGCAGCCUCCUCUGCGUAGUAGUUUUCUCCUCGCAAGGGCAGCUCGGUGGCGACCUCGCCGUAAAACCCCCAACUUCUGAAAGGUUGACCUCGAAUCAGGUAGGAAUACCCGCUGAACUUAAGCAUAUCAAUAAGCGGAGGA